UCAGGAUGAACGCUGGCGGCGUGCUUAACACAUGCAAGUCGAACGGUGAAGGGGAGCUUGCUCUCUGGAUCAGUGGCGAACGGGUGAGUAACACGUGAGCAAUCUGCCCCUGACUCUGGGAUAACAGUUGGAAACAGCUGCUAAUACUGGAUACGAGACGUGAAGGCAUCUUCAACGUCUGGAAAGAAUUUCGGUCAGGGAUGAGCUCGCGGCCUAUCAGCUUGUUGGUGAGGUAACGGCUCACCAAGGCGUCGACGGGUAGCCGGCCUGAGAGGGUGACCGGCCACACUGGGACUGAGACACGGCCCAGACUCCUACGGGAGGCAGCAGUGGGGAAUAUUGCACAAUGGGCGAAAGCCUGAUGCAGCAACGCCGCGUGAGGGACGACGGCCUUCGGGUUGUAAACCUCUUUUAGCAGGGAAGGAAGCGAAAGUGACGGUACCUGCAGAAAA
rnacentral:rRNA from 1 species